rnacentral:rRNA from 1 species
UACGAAGGGGGCGAGCGUUGUUCGGAUUUACUGGGCGUAAAGGGCGCGCAGGCGGCUCAUUUUGUCAGGCGUGAAAGCCCCGGGCUUAACCUGGGAACUGCGUUUGAUACGGAUGGGCUAGAGUUCGGGAGAGGAGAGUGGAAUUCCCAGUGUAGAGGUGAAAUUCGUAGAUAUUGGGAAGAACACCGGUGGCGAAGGCGGCUCUCCGGACCGAGACUGACGCUGAGGCGCGAAAGCGUGGGGAGCAAACAGG